AUUGUUGAGUUUUUGUGAGUAAGUGAGGAUAGAAAGACAAAUUCAAAAUUUAGGAGUUUGUUAUUAUAAAAAAGAAAGUUAGAGAGUUAGAGGAUUUUUUAUAGUACAUGAAUUAGAAAAGUGAAAGUCCUAUGGAAAAGAGAAAAGCAAGAGGUAAGCUAGCAUAAAAGGAAAGGAGAACCGAGAACAAAACCAACCUUUGCUGCUAGGAGAAAAAGGUAAGGGGGAGAAUAACCUUCAACAAGGGCUUAUGCAUGAGGGGUAGGGUAGAGGAGUCCUUAACCUCCAAUAGGGAUGAAGAUUGUGAUAAUUAUAUGUGUUGCUAUGAUAAAUCCUUGAUGAAUUGAGUGAAUUGCAUAUUAGUCAUAAAUAAAUGAUAUAUUGUUGAGUUAAAUGUUAAGAGGUGAUAAAAAUCCAUAUGUUUUUCAUGUACAAUGAUGUAGGGUAUGUUUUGGGACCGUUAGAGGUCAAAACUUGGGGUUUGGG
rnacentral:lncRNA from 1 species